ACAAGUAGCGGAGCAUGUGGUUUAAUUCGAAGCAACGCGAAGAACCUUACCUAAGCUUGACAUCCCAAUGACAUCUCCUUAAUCGGAGAGUUCCCUUCGGGGACAUUGGUGACAGGUGGUGCAUGGUUGUCGUCAGCUCGUGUCGUGAGAUGUUGGGUUAAGUCCCGCAACGAGCGCAACCCUUGUCUUUAGUUGCCAUCAUUAAGUUGGGCACUCUAGAGAGACUGCCAGGGAUAA
rnacentral:rRNA from 1 species